rnacentral:rRNA from 1 species
AUUGAACGCUGGCGGCAUGCCUUACACAUGCAAGUCGAACGGCAGCACGGGUGCUUGCACCUGGUGGCGAGUGGCGAACGGGUGAGUAAUACAUCGGAACGUACCUUAUCGUGGGGGAUAACGCAGCGAAAGCUGUGCUAAUACCGCAUACGCCCUGAGGGGGAAAGCGGGGGAUCGAAAGACCUCGCGCGAUUAGAGCGGCCGAUGCCUGAUUAGCUUGUUGGUGGGGUAAAAGCCCACCAAGGCGACGAUCAGUAGCUGGUCUGAGAGGACGAUCAGCCACACUGGGACUGGGACACGGCCCAGAAUCCUACGGGAGGCAGCAGUGGGGAAUUUUGGACAAUGGGGGCAACCCUGAUCCAGCAAUGCCGCGUGAGUGAAGAAGGCCUUCGGGUUGUAAAGCUCUUUUGUUAGGGAAGAAACACCGGCUCUAACACAGUCCGGGAAUGACGGUACCUGAAGAAUAAGCACCGGCUAACUACGUGCCAGCAGCCACCGCCG